rnacentral:rRNA from 1 species
CCUACGGGGAGCAGCAGUAGGGAAUCUUCCACAAUGGGCGAAAGCCUGAUGGAGCAACGCCGCGUGGGUGAAGAAGGUCUUCGGAUCGUAAAACCCUGUUGUUAGAGAAGAAAGUGCGUGAGCGUAACUGUUCACGUUUCGACGGUAUCUAACAAGAAAGCCACGGCUAACUACGUGCCAGCAGCCGCGGUAAUACGUAGGUGGCAUGCGUUAUCCGUAUUUAUUGGGCGUAAAGGGAACGCAGGUGUUCUUUUAAGUCUGAUGUGAAGGCCUUCGGCUUAACCGGAGUAGUGCAUGGGAAACUGGGAGACGUGAGUGCAGAAGAGGAAAGUGGAACUCCAGGUGUAGCGGUGAAAUGCGUAGAUAUAUGGAAGAACACCAGUGGCGAAAGCGGCUCUCUGGUCUGUAACUGACGCUGAGGUUCGAAAGCGUGGGUAGCAAACAGGAUUAGAUACCCUUGUAGGC